rnacentral:lncRNA from 1 species
GAGAUCAAUAUGUUCAUCAGGCAAAAGAGGAUUUAGAGGCGUUUCUUGGCGAAGUGGCGGUAGAUUUUGUAUCCUGGUAUCCUGACUAUCAAACUCUCUUGAUUAGCUGCAAUUUUCUUCUUUACAUGCUAACUCGGUUUGAAUAGCGGAUGCUAACCCCAGCGCACCGCCUAUGUAAGUUAUGAAUCUUAUAAUCGACUAUGCUGGUCAAUCUUCUGAAUACACUAGCUUAUUUCAUGUAGGUGAAGUUGCUGCUGUUAGUUCCCGAGAGAAAGAGAGAUUGAGGGUAGGCCUUACGUAGAUUGACUUGGUUGAGAGUACUAAACCUGAUACUCAAUCGUUCAAACUUUACCGUGUUCAUUAGGCAGUGGCUGCAUGUUAACAAUGCUACAUAAUUGCUCUUAUCUGCCUUCCGAGACCGAAGAAGGAACCAAGUUGGGAAAAAUAUUAUAAAUUAAAUAGCUUGAUAACAUUGAGCUUGUCAGACUGUAGGAGUUUCUAUUUCUGAUCAGUUAUUUCACAAGCUCUUUUUCACAUAUGUGCAUCCCUCGUAUUUCACACACACGCAAGGACUGUAGAUUUGAGAUUCACCUUUGCAGAGUGACAAUCAUAUUCUAGAGACUUGAAAUUUAGUAUUGGCCUUUGUUUUUUAGCUUUUGACUUGUAAACUUUUCGUAUAGGUUCCAAGGUCGGCAGGAGCAGCUUCUGCAGCAUCAGCCCCAAACCAGAGUUCUGCAAAGACUUUCCACGCACAUGUACCACAUGGCAACAAAAUGCUAUCCCCAAAAGACCAUGUUUUGUGAGCUCCAGUCUACAACGGCGUAGAGAGCCUAGCCCUGAUCCAUCAGAACCAUCAGCAGCAGCCCUCAAACAUCUUUCUGAUUCAGACAACAAAGGGAAUGCUUCAUCAACAGAGCCCGGUGCAACUGCAGGCACUUAAUUCUUAGCAUCUGUCUUCUUCCUCUUGAAGAUCAUAGAAACUCCUUUAGGAAAUAUAGAAUUUUCACAGUAGCAUAGAAUGAAGGUGCACCUGUGUUGGUUUGUAAAGAGUGGUUUGACAGUUUCACUACUGCAAUUACCUCGUAGAUUAAAUUACGGAUUAUCAGAUUGGUGAUUUUUUAUAUGGGAAUGUAAACUUUCAUUCAACAAAUUGACAG